AUCCAUGGCCAUAGGACUCUGAAAGAACUGCAUCCUGUCUGAUCUGCACAGUUAACCAGAGUGCCGCCUAGUUAGUACCACAGUGGGGGACCAUGUGGGAAUCCUAGGUGCUGUGGUUU
rfam:Gymnopus luxurians FD-317 M1 unplaced genomic scaffold GYMLTscaffold_51, whole genome shotgun sequence.